rnacentral:rRNA from 1 species
CAGUCGCCGCGGGAAUGCGUAGGUGGCAAGCGUUGUCCGGAUUUAUUGGGCGUAAAGCGAGCGCAGGCGGUUCCUUAAGUCUGAUGUGAAAGCCCCCGGCUCAACCGGGGAGGGUCAUUGGAAACUGGGGAUCUUGAGUGCAGAAGAGGAGAGUGGAAUUCCAUGUGUAGCGGUGAAAUGCGUAGAUAUAUGGAGGAACACCAGUGGCGAAGGCGACUCUCUGGUCUGUAACUGACGCUGAGGCUCGAAAGCGUGGGUAGCAAACAGGAUUAGAUACCCCCGUAGUCCCUGUCUCUUAUAC